UUUAUAGGAGCAUACCGAGGAGGGAAAUGUUUUUGAAGGGGCUGUUAGCAUCUAAAUAUAAGAUCAGACCGGCUCCGUCGUGGAAUUGCUGACCACGCUUCAAGUAGAGUCCAUACCCAUAGGUAAUCCGGGCGUUUGGGGAUUUGAGGUAGAGACCGUUGCCACUGGGAUUCACUGUGCAAACGCAUCCAUCACGUUUCAGGUACAAUCCAGACCUUAAGGCCUUUUUGGCAGCUACACCACCCA
rnacentral:lncRNA from 1 species